UUGAGAGUUUGAUCCUGGCUCAGAACGAACGCUGGCGGCAGGCCUAACACAUGCAAGUCGAACGGUAACAGGUCUUCGGAUGCUGACGAGUGGCGAACGGGUGCGUAACGCGUAUGCAACCUGCCCUUUACUGGAGAAUAGCCCAGAGAAAUUUGGAUUAAUACUCCAUAGUAUUACAGAUUCGCAUGUUUCUGUAAUUAAAGUUCCAACGGUAAAGGAUGGGCAUGCGUGACAUUAGUUUGUUGGUGAGGUAACGGCUCACCAAGACUGCGAUGUCUAGGGGUUCUGAGAGGAUGAUCCCCCACACUGGUACUGAGACACGGACCAGACUCCUACGGGAGGCAGCAGU
rnacentral:rRNA from 14 species